AGACGACUCGGGGCUGCUGCUGCUCUCGGGGCGCCGCCGCCGCUCCUUUUCCUCCGCCGCCGCCGCCGCCUCCCGGCAGCCGCCGGCGCCGCUGUCCGAACUUGAAGUUGCCGGCGUGCCCGUGGCCGCUGCCGCCGCCGCCGCCGCCGCGGAGGUCGCCGCGGCUGCCGGGGGCCCCUUCUCGGCGCUCUUGUCCCCAGGGUAGUCGGAGGAGGCGAGGUUUUCCGGGGUGCCGUAGGCCGUCUCGAAAAACUGGUCGAAAGCCUGUGGCAGGACGCCGUUUCGGCCCACGGUGCUAUAGAAAUUGGACGAGACGGCGGGGGUGGGGUGGUGGUAGACGUUGGCCGAGCUCUUGGCCAGCACGUCGCCAGGCACGCCGGCCGCGCUGGGCGCCUGCAGGCAGUCUCUGUGCACGAGCUCCUCCGCGGAGUAGCAGUGGGCCAGAUUGCCGCGGGGGUGCCAUUUAGUGGCGGGCUCAAUGGCGUAUUCUCUGAAGGUCACUUCGCGCACGGGUUGGACCUGGGGCAGGUUGGAAGAGUAGGAGUAUGUCAUUGGGCGCGAAGACGGGGUCUGGGGCAGAAAAGAAGGGAGGCUGGAGAAAUCUGGACCCGAGACGUAGUAAGUACAACUUGGCAAAUACAUGUUAGAGGAGCAGGGGCCACGCUCAUCAAAAUCCAUCAUUGGGCUACCUUGGGCUUUCCGCAGUAGCCGAGCUUAACAUGAUUCUCCACUGCAGCUGCCUCUUUGAAGCGGAUCCGUGAAGUAGAAAUUUGGAGACGUAAGCUGACGUGGAAAUCUAUCCCCAUCCUUAGCAGGGAGGUGCUGGUCAUGUGACCCGAUGUUGAAAUUGACAAGCUGCUAGCUAGUCCGGACCUUCCCCCCCCCUUUCCUUUCCUUUCUUCCACCCCCCCCCCCCGCCCCCGGCUUCCUUUCUUUGUAGCCACCUCAGGGGAAGCAACAGAUCGUCACUCGGUGUUCUCACCGAAAGCACGUAAUCGCCGGUGUAACUCAUGUUGGCUGGGGGGGGGGGGCCUCCCGGCGCGCGGCGAGGCUGGGUGCUACCCCGUGCCAAUUGCUUGUGCUCAGCUGCACGGUCCUGGCCCUCGAGUGCGCCGAGGGCGGUGAGAGAGCUCAACUCCUGCCACCCACCACUCCCCGGGUGAGGGAAGCCACAGGCUGGGGGUGGCCGGGUGGGAGCUCGUCGCUGCGUGGCCCGUGCGUGGUCUUGGAAUCUAUUCGCCUGGAGGCUCGCGUUCGCACCUCCUUCUUCGCUGUCCCCCUCCCACAGGCUUGCUUUGGGAACCACCUCUGCCUCCGACUUUGGCCGGACCCCCUUCGGGCCAGGGUUUGCAGCCGUGGAUGUGCCUGCCUCGUGGCUCGCCCGAUUUGCACGGUGACUUGAUUACACGCUCGCAUUCAUGGUCACUUCCGAAGCGCUUUAGUGCCUUCCGUCCCUAAACCGCCAACAACCUGGGCGGCUUCCCCCGCGGUUUGUCAGGGAUCCGCAGGUCCCGGAAAGCCCUUCGUCUCACCCGGGAUCCACCUCCCUUUCUCCCUGCCGGCCUCCUCACCCCACGCCCUGCCCUUGGAGAAACCCGCUCCUCCUCGCUGUCUGCCGGGGUUCGGAGUGACACCGCAGAGCCAGAGGCGUGGGAGCUGCGCCGCUGCGCACUGGUCCGCCCGCCCCUCUGCCGGGUCUUCUGGAGCUGAGGACUCGGGGAACCAUGGAAUUGAGGCGAGCCUUGGGCUUCUUUAGAGGCGCUGACAUCCAAGGAGACUUCUCCUGGGGUUGCGUAUCACAAAUCAAACUACUCCGACACAUUGGUUUAAUGAACGCUUUAUUCAGGAUUUGCUGCAAGAACUUCCAUGCCCCUUGAAUCCCUGAGAGCUGAACUUGAAAUUAUUUGUGCAUCUCCAGCUUGACAUAUUUGGCCACUGUGGCUUGUGAAGAGGGCAGUAUCGGGGAGGCCCAACAGCCAAGCUGAGCCCACCCGGCUCAAGAGAACACCCGACGGGGUGGUGGGGAGCUAAGGCUGUCCUGGAAGGCCAAGUGCGAGUUGCAUUUUUUGAAGAGUCCAGGACGGGCAUGGCUGUGACAUUGGCCCUGGAGACUGGUUUCCCAUGAGUUGUUCUUUCUCAGGAGCUCCACAGUGUGAGGCCAUCUCCAGAAAACAGUCUUCAGUGUGUAUUUCCUUUUAUCGUCAACCCGGAGCCCCACGGCAGCUAAUGCAAGAGGCCAAAAAUGUUUGGGAGGAAGAAAAACAAAGGCAGGAAGUGGCGGCGGCUUGACGGUGCGUGUGUGUCUGCGGAGAAGGGAGGGAGCCAUUUCAACCUCUUCUUGUUUUUCCAAACUUCAGGGUCCAGGCAGCCCUCGCAGGGCCGACCCGUUGCUCCCCGCGCAGCAUUUGGAGAUGGCCACCCGGAGAGGAGAAGGCUGGCGCCGGAGCCAGCCUUGUCAGGCGGAAACGGCUAACGAGGCGAUUUGCUCAGCAAAGCAGACCAAGCCUUUCCAAACUUCAUUUGAUUUAGCCCUAAAAGUGGGGGGUUGGGGGAUUCUGCAACACCUUCCGGACCCUCCUUGGCGGGCGGGCUGAGUGCUCCGUGGCGGGGAUUCGGGAGCCCUGCACUCCACGCGCCUUCCCAGGCGGAAUAUGGGAAUAAAGUGUGUC